rnacentral:rRNA from 1 species
GACGAACGCUGGCGGCGUGCUUAACACAUGCAAGUCGAACGAAGAGCGAUGGAAGCUUGCUUCUAUCAAUCUUAGUGGCGAACGGGUGAGUAACGCGUAAUCAACCUGCCCUUCAGAGGGGGACAACAGUUGGAAACGACUGCUAAUACCGCAUACGAUCUAACCUCGGCAUCGAGGAUAGAUGAAAGGUGGCCUCUAUUUAUAAGCUAUCACUGAAGGAGGGGAUUGCGUCUGAUUAGCUAGUUGGAGGGGUAACGGCCCACCAAGGCGAUGAUCAGUAGCCGGUCUGAGAGGAUGAACGGCCACAUUGGGACUGAGACACGGCCCAGACUCCUACGGGAGGCAGCAGUGGGGAAUCUUCCGCAAUGGACGAAAGUCUGACGGAGCAACGCCGCGUGAGUGAUGACGGCCUUCGGGUUGUAAAGCUCUGUUAAUCGGGACGAAAGGCCUUCUUGCGAAUAGUUAGAAGGAUUGACGGUACCGGAAUAGAAAGCCACGGCUAACUACGUGCCAGCAGCCGCGGUAAUA